rnacentral:rRNA from 1 species
GACGAACGCUGGCGGCGUGCUUAACACAUGCAAGUCGAACGGAAAGGCCCUGCUUUUGUGGGGUGCUCGAGUGGCGAACGGGUGAGUAACACGUGAGUAACCUGCCCUUGACUUUGGGAUAACUUCAGGAAACUGGGGCUAAUACCGGAUAGGAGCUCCUGCUGCAUGGUGGGGGUUAGAAAGUUUCGGCGGUUGGGGAUGGACUCGCGGCUUAUCAGCUUGUUGGUGGGGUAGUGGCUUACCAAGGCUUUGACGGGUAGCCGGCCUGAGAGGGUGACCGGCCACAUUGGGACUGAGAUACGGCCCAGACUCCUACGGGAGGCAGCAGUAAGGAAUAUUGCACAAUGGGCGGAAGCCUGAUGCAGCAACGCCGCGUGCGGGAUGACGGCCUUCGGGUUGUAAACCGCUUUCGCCUGUGACGAAGCGUGAGUGACGGUAAUGGGUAAAGAAGCACCGGCUAACUACGUG